GUCUACAGCCAUACCACCCUGAACGCGCCUGAUCUCGUCUGAUCUCAGAAGCUAAGCAGGGUCGGGCCUGGUUAGUACUUGGAUGGGAGAAAGAAAGAAAAAGUGGGUGUCCACA
rnacentral:rRNA from 1 species